UCCGGUUUGUCACCGGCAGUCUCCCUAGAGUGCCCUUGCGUAGCAACUAGGGACAAGGGUUGCGCUCGUUGCGGGACUUAACCCAACAUCUCACGACACGAGCUGACGACAGCCAUGCAGCACCUGUGUUCCGAUUCCCUUUCGGGCACCCCCACCUUUCAGCAGGGUUCCGGACAUGUCAAGGGUAGGUAAGGUGGGGAUGACGUUUUCGGAUUCUAAG
rnacentral:misc_RNA from 1 species